rnacentral:rRNA from 1 species
UGCGCAGGCGGAUUAAUAAGUCGGGGGUUAAAUCCAUGUGCUUAACACAUGCACGGCUUCCGAUACUGUUGAUCUAGAGUCUCGAAGAGGAAGGUGGAAUUUCCGGUGUAACGGUGGAAUGUGUAGAUAUCGGAAAGAACACCAGUGGCGAAGGCAGCCUUCUGGUCGAGUACUGACGCUCAUGCACGAAAGCGUGGGGAGUAAACAG